GGGUUGUGAGGUUAAGCGACUAAGCGUACACGGUGGAUGCCCUGGCAGUCAGAGGCGAUGAAGGACGUGCUAAUCUGCGAAAAGCGUCGGUAAGGUGAUAUGAACCGUUAUAACCGGCGAUGUCCGAAUGGGGAAACCCAGUGCAAUUCGUUGCACUAUCGUUAACUGAAUACAUAGGUUAACGAGGCGAACCGGGGGAACUGAAACAUCUAAGUACCCCGAGGAAAAGAAAUCAACCGAGAUUCCCCCAGUAGCGGCGAGCGAACGGGGAGCAGCCCAGAGUCUGAAUCAGCUUGUGUGUUAGUGGAACGGUCUGGAAAGUCCGACGGUACAGGGUGAUAGUCCCGUACACCAAAAUGCACAGGCUGUGAACUCGAAGAGUAGGGCGGGACACGUGGUAUCCUGUCUGAAUAUGGGGGGACCAUCCUCCAAGGCUAAAUACUCCUGACUGACCGAUAGUGAACCAGUACCGUGAGGGAAAGGCGAAAAGAACCCCGGCGAGGGGAGUGAAAAAGAACCUGAAACCGUGUACGUACAAGCAGUGGGAGCACCUUCGGGUGUGACUGCGUACCUUUUGUAUAAUGGGUCAGCGACUUAUAUUCUGUAGCAAGGUUAACCGUAUAGGGGAGCCGCAGGGAAACCGAGUCUUAACUGGGCGUUAAGUUGCAGGGUAUAGACCCGAAACCCGGUGAUCUAGCCAUGGGCAGGUUGAAGGUUGGGUAACACUAACUGGAGGACCGAACCGACUAAUGUUGAAAAAUUAGCGGAUGACUUGUGGCUGGGGGUGAAAGGCCAAUCAAACCGGGAGAUAGCUGGUUCUCCCCGAAAGCUAUUUAGGUAGCGCCUCGUGAAUUCAUCUUCGGGGGUAGAGCACUGUUUCGGCUAGGGGGUCAUCCCGACUUACCAACCCGAUGCAAACUACGAAUACCGAAGAAUGUUAUCACGGGAGACACACGGCGGGUGCUAACGUCCGUCGUGAAGAGGGAAACAACCCAGACCGCCAGCUAAGGUCCCAAAGUCAUGGUUAAGUGGGAAACGAUGUGGGAAGGCACAGACAGCCAGGAUGUUGGCUUAGAAGCAGCCAUCAUUUAAAGAAAGCGUAAUAGCUCACUGGUCGAGUCGGCCUGCGCGGAAGAUGUAACGGGGCUAAACCAUGCACCGAAGCUGCGGCAGCGACACUAUGUGUUGUUGGGUAGGGGAGCGUUCUGUAAGCCUGCGAAGGUGUGCUGUGAGGCAUGCUGGAGGUAUCAGAAGUGCGAAUGCUGACAUAAGUAACGAUAAAGCGGGUGAAAAGCCCGCUCGCCGGAAGACCAAGGGUUCCUGUCCAACGUUAAUCGGGGCAGGGUGAGUCGACCCCUAAGGCGAGGCCGAAAGGCGUAGUCGAUGGGAAACAGGUUAAUAUUCCUGUACUUGGUGUUACUGCGAAGGGGGGACGGAGAAGGCUAUGUUAGCCGGGCGACGGUUGUCCCGGUUUAAGCAUGUAGGCUGAUUGUCCAGGCAAAUCCGGAUAAUCAAGGCUGAGGUGUGAUGACGAGGCACUACGGUGCUGAAGUAACAAAUGCCCUGCUUCCAGGAAAAGCCUCUAAGCAUCAGGUAACAUCAAAUCGUACCCCAAACCGACACAGGUGGUCAGGUAGAGAAUACCAAGGCGCUUGAGAGAACUCGGGUGAAGGAACUAGGCAAAAUGGUGCCGUAACUUCGGGAGAAGGCACGCUGGUGUGUAGGUGAAGUCCCUGCGGAUGGAGCUGAGACCAGUCGAAGAUACCAGCUGGCUGCAACUGUUUAUUAAAAACACAGCACUGUGCAAACACGAAAGUGGACGUAUACGGUGUGACGCCUGCCCGGUGCCGGAAGGUUAAUUGAUGGGGUUAUCCGUAAGGAGAAGCUCUUGAUCGAAGCCCCGGUAAACGGCGGCCGUAACUAUAACGGUCCUAAGGUAGCGAAAUUCCUUGUCGGGUAAGUUCCGACCUGCACGAAUGGCGUAAUGAUGGCCAGGCUGUCUCCACCCGAGACUCAGUGAAAUUGAACUCGCUGUGAAGAUGCAGUGUACCCGCGGCAAGACGGAAAGACCCCGUGAACCUUUACUAUAGCUUGACACUGAACAUUGAGCCUUGAUGUGUAGGAUAGGUGGGAGGCUUUGAAGCGUGGACGCCAGUCUGCGUGGAGCCAACCUUGAAAUACCACCCUUUAAUGUUUGAUGUUCUAACGUUGGCCCCUUACCGGGGUUGCGGACAGUGUCUGGUGGGUAGUUUGACUGGGGCGGUCUCCUCCCAAAGCGUAACGGAGGAGCACGAAGGUUAGCUAAUCCUGGUCGGACAUCAGGAGGUUAGUGCAAUGGCAUAAGCUAGCUUGACUGCGAGCGUGACGGCGCGAGCAGGUGCGAAAGCAGGUCAUAGUGAUCCGGUGGUUCUGAAUGGAAGGGCCAUCGCUCAACGGAUAAAAGGUACUCCGGGGAUAACAGGCUGAUACCGCCCAAGAGUUCAUAUCGACGGCGGUGUUUGGCACCUCGAUGUCGGCUCAUCACAUCCUGGGGCUGAAGUAGGUCCCAAGGGUAUGGCUGUUCGCCAUUUAAAGUGGUACGCGAGCUGGGUUUAGAACGUCGUGAGACAGUUCGGUCCCUAUCUGCCGUGGGCGCUGGAGAAUUGAGGGGGGCUGCUCCUAGUACGAGAGGACCGGAGUGGACGCAUCACUGGUGUUCGGGUUGUCAUGCCAAUGGCACUGCCCGGUAGCUAAAUGCGGAAGAGAUAAGUGCUGAAAGCAUCUAAGCACGAAACUUGCCCCGAGAUGAGUUCUCCCUGAGACUAUAAGUCUCCUGAAGGAACGUUAAAGACGAUGACGUUGAUAGGCCGGGUGUGUAAGCGCAGCGAUGCGUUGAGCUAACCGGUACUAAUGAACCGUGAGGCUUAACCUUACAACGCCGAAG
rnacentral:rRNA from 1 species